GUUGUUGCAUAUUCAAAAAGCGGAGGAAAAGAAAAUAACAAUGAUUUCCCUAGUAACGGCGAGUGAAGAGGAAAGAGCUCAAAGUUGGAACCUGUUUGGCCUAGCUAAACCGGAUUGUAGACUGUAGAAGUGUUUUCCAGGCAAGCCGAGUAAAUAAGUCCUUUGGAACAGGGCAUCAUAGAGGGUGAGAAUCCCGUCUUUGGCUUGAGCAUUUGCCUUUUGUGAUACGCUUUCAAAGAGUCAGGUUGUUUGGGAAUGCAGCCUAAAUUGGGUGGUAAAUCUCACCUAAAGCUAAAUAUUGGCGAGAAACCGAUAGCGAACAAGUACCGUGAGGGAAAGAUGAAAAGAACUUUGAAAAGAGAGUUAAACAGUAUGUGAAAUUGUUAAAAGGGAACCGUUUGGAGCCAGACUGGCUUGUCUGUAAUCAAUCUAGGCUUCGGCCUGGAUGCACUUGCAGGCUAUGCCUGCCAACGACAAUUUGACUUGAGGGAAAAAACUAGGGGAAAUGUGGCCCACUUGUGGGUGUUAUAGUCCCUUAGAAAAUACCUUGGGUUGGAUUGAGGAACGCAGCGAAUGCUUAUUGGCGAGUUUUCCAGGAAGGUUUUCUGAGGUACUACGGUAUCAAGGUUGAUCUUUUUGGUUAUACUUCUAUUCGCUUAGGUUGUUGGCUUAAUGACUCUAAAUGACCCGUCUUGAAACAGGGACACUAA
rnacentral:rRNA from 2 species